GAUGAAGAACGUAGUGAAAUGCGAUAAGUAAUGUCAAUUGCAGAAUUCAGUGAAUCAUCGAAUCUUUGAACGCACAUUGCGCCCGCCAGUAUUCUGGCGGGCAUGCCUGUUCGAGCGUCAUUUCAACCAUCAAGCCCCAGGCUUGUGUUGGAGCCCUGCGGCUGCCGCAGCCUCCCAAAACCAGUGGCGGGCUCGCUAUCACACCGAGUGCAGUAGUUUACUCUUCGCUCAGGGCGUGUGGCGGGUGCUAGCCGUAAAACCCCCAACUUCUCAAGGUUGACCUCGGAUCAGGUAGGAAUACCCGCUGAACUUAAGCAUAUCAAUAAGCGGAGGA
rnacentral:misc_RNA from 1 species